rnacentral:sRNA from 1 species
GGUUUGUGUUAUCAUCACUAUUGUAUAUUCGUCCCGCUUCAUAUUCCUAUAAUGUAUGUUUCUGAUUUUAACCAAAAAAGAUAGGAAAAUGUUGUCCCGUUAUAUUAUAAACAUAUAGUUUAGCUUGUUAAUUAAUACCACAUUGCACACCAGUUGGAAAACAUUUUUCUUUUUAAUAUAUAUAUGGAAGUUUAAGUCUAAAGACCCUACAUUUUCUAGAGGCAGGACCCGCAUCAGGUUAAAUUCAUUUCCGUUAGAGAAGAGAUCCCUUCCAACGUUCUUCGAACUGAGCACUUCCACCCGGAAGAUUUAUCACUCGGCCAACAGCUUGUUGGUUAUAGGAAAAAAAAAUUACGCACUAGUAGAAUUAUUUGAGAGUUAUACAUAUUAAACACACCUAAACUUAAUGAGGAUAUAUGAAGGAAAUAUAUAUUGCUUGAGUUUGUUGUUUGUUUUU